rnacentral:rRNA from 1 species
CCUACGUGAGGCAGCAGUGGGGGAUAUUGCACAAUGGGGGAAACCCUGAUGCAGCGACGCCGCGUGUAGGAAGACGGUCCUCUGGAUUGUAAACUACUGUCCCCAGGGACGAAGAUGACGGUACCUGGGGAGGAAGCUCCGGCUAACUACGUACCAGCAGCCGCGGUAAUACGUAGGGAGCGAGCGUUGUCCGGAAUUACUGGGUGUAAGGGGAGCGUAGGCGGGGAUGCAAGUUGGGUGUUAAAUCUACCGGCUAAACUGGUAGUCGCACUCAAAACUGGAGCUCUUGAGUGAAGUAGAGGCAGGCGGAAUUCCUAGUGUAGCGGUGAAAUGCGUAGAUAUUAGGAGGAACACCAGUGGCGAAGGCGGCCUGCUGGGCUUUUACUGACGCUGAGGCUCGAAAGUGUGGGGAGCAAACAGGAUUAGAUACCCCGGUAGUC